GACGAACGCUGGCGGCGUGCUUAACACAUGCAAGUCGAACGGAAAGGCCCUGCUUUUGUGGGGUGCUCGAGUGGCGAACGGGUGAGUAACACGUGAGUAACCUGCCCUUGACUUUGGGAUAACUUCAGGAAACUGGGGCUAAUACCGGAUAGGAGCUCCUGCUGCAUGGUGGGGGUUGGAAAGUUUCGGCGGUUGGGGAUGGACUCGCGGCUUAUCAGCUUGUUGGUGGGGUAGUGGCUUACCAAGGCUUUGACGGGUAGCCGGCCUGAGAGGGUGACCGGGGCAGAGAGUAGUGAGGCAGAGCGCAGAAGGAGGGGGGAGGUAGUGAGGGAGGAGAGGGCAGGAGGGGAGGGCGGCAGAGGCAGGAACGCCGCGUGGGGGAGGGAGGGAUUCGGGUUGGAAAGGGGGUACGCAGGUGGAGAAGAGUGAGUGACGGGCAUGGGUAAUGAAGGAUCGGAGGACGAGAUG
rnacentral:rRNA from 1 species